rnacentral:rRNA from 1 species
GAUGAACGCUGGCGGCGUGCCUAAUACUUGCAAGUCGAGCGAACAGACGAGGAGCUUGCUCCUCUGACGUUAGCGGCGGACGGGUGAGUAACACGUGGAUAACCUACCUAUAAGACUGGGAUAACUUCGGGAAACCGGAGCUAAUACCGGAUAAUAUAUUGAACCGCAUGGUUCAAUAGUGAAAGACGGUUUUGCUGUCACUUAUAGAUGGAUCCGCGCCGCAUUAGCUAGUUGGUAAGGUAACGGCUCACCAAGGCAACGAUGCGUAGCCGACCUGAGAGGGUGAUCGGCCACACUGGAACUGAGACACGGUCCAGACUCCUACGGGAGGCAGCAGUAGGGAAUCUUCCGCAAUGGGCGAAAGCUUGACGGAGCAACGCCGCGUGAGUGAUGAAGGUCUUCGGAUCGUAAAACUCUGUUAUUAGGGAAGAACAAAUGUGUAAGUAACUAUGCACGUCUUGACGGUACCUAAUCAGAAAGCCACGGCUAACUACGUG